rnacentral:rRNA from 1 species
UCGGCCCCUAAGGCGAGGCAGAAAUGCGUAGUCGAUGGGAAGCAUGUUAAUAUUCCUGCACCGACGUGUAAUGCGAUGGGGGGACGGAUCGUGGAAAGUGGUCCAGGUGUUGGAUAUCCUGGUCCCUGCAUCAUAGAGGACAGUUAGGCAAAUCCGGCUGUCAUAUACUCAAGGGUGUGGGGGGAAGUAGCUACGGCUACGAACCCAUUGGAAGUGGUCCCAAGAAAAGCCUCUAAGCUUCAGUUACACGUUGACCGUACCGCAAACCGACACAGGUGGGCGAGAUGAGUAUUCUAAGGCGCUUGAGAGAACUCAGGAGAAGGAACUCGGCAAAUUGGUACCGUAACUUCGGGAGAAGGUACGCCCUUGUAGCUUGACCAUGAACAAUGGAAGGGUGAAGGGGUUGCAAUAAAAUGGUGGCUGCGACUGUUUAAUAAAAACACAGCUCUCUGCAAACACGAAAGUGGACGUAUAGGGUGUGACGCCUGCCCGGUGCUGGAAGAUUAAAUGAUGGGGUGCAAGCUCUUGAUUGAAGUCCCAGUAAACGGCGGCCGUAACUAUAACGGUCCUAAGGUAGCGAAAUUCCUUGUCGGGUAAGUUCCGACCUGCAUGAAUGGUAUAACGACUUCUUUACUGUCUCCAGCAUAAUCUUGGUGAAUUUGAAAUGCCCGUGAAGAUGCGGGCUAUUUGCGGCUAGACGGAAAGACCCCGUGCACCUUUACUAUGAUUUUAAGUUGUAAAAUUAGAUUUUACGUGUAGCAUAGGUGGGAGCUUGUAGCACUAGUGAAAUACCACCCUUAGUGUUUAAUUUUACUUAAUUUAUUUUUAAAGACAGCUUAUGAAAGUUAGUUUGACUGGGGCGGUCGCCUCCUAAAAGGUAACGGAGGCGUACAAAGGUUUCCUCAGAUCGGUCAGAAAUCGAUCUUAGAGUGCAAAGGCAAAAGGAAGCUUAACUGUGAGACAAACAAGUCGAGCAGAGACGAAAGUCGGUCUUAGUGAUCUGACGCUGCUGUGUGGAAAGGGCGUCACUCAACGGAUAAAAGUUACUCUAAGGAUAACAGGCUGAUCUCCCCCAAGAGUUCCUAUCGACGGGGAGGUUUGGCACCUCGAUGUCGGCUCAUCGCAUCCUGGGGCGGUAGUACGUCCCAAGGGUUGGGCUGUUCGCCCAUUAAAGCGGUACGUGAGCUGGGUUCAGAACGUCGCGAGACAGUUCGGUCCAUAUCCGGCGUGGGCGUUAGAGUAUUGAGAGUGACCUUUCUCUAGUACGAGAGGACCGAGAAAGACAUACCGCUAGUGUACCAGUUAUCGUGCCAUCGGUAUAUGCUGGGUAGCUAUGUAUGGUUUGGAUAACCGCUGAAGGCAUCUAAGUGGGAAGCCGUCCUCAAGAUGAGUACUCUUAGGUUGCGGCAAGACUAGCCGUUUGAUAGGCAUCCGGUGUAAGUGUAGC